rnacentral:rRNA from 1 species
AGGAUUAACGCUGGCGGCGUGCCUAACACAUGCAAGUCGAACGAGGUAGCAAUACCUAGUGGCAGACGGGUGAGUAACGCGUGGUCAACCUACCGUUGAGUGGGGGAUAACUAGCCGAAAGGUUAGCUAAUACCGCAUACGAGUCUCGGGGGCAUCCCUGGGCCUUAAAAGGAGCAAUCCGCUCGAUGACGGGACCGCGUCCCAUUAGCUAGAUGGUGGGGUAACGGCCUACCAUGGCACCGAUGGGUAGCUGGUUUGAGAGAGCGACCAGCCACACUGGGACUGAGAAACGGCCCAGACUCCUACGGGAGGCAGCAGUGAGGAAUUUUCCGCAAUGGGCGAAAGCCUGACGGAGCGACGCCGCGUGUGGGAAGAAGGCCUUCGGGUCGUAAACCACUGUCGAAGGGGACGAUAAUGACGGUACCCUUGGAGGAAGCCCGGCUAACUACGCGCCAGCAGCCGC